UUAUUUUUUUGUUAUUGCACACUUUCUUGUGCUCGCGCAUAUGACGCUUGCUCGUGCGUUUUGCCAGCGACUCUGUUAACUAACAGUUUAGCAUCUGUUAUUCGUUUUUAGCCAAAGACACUGUUCGUUAUCAUGUGAUGGGCUUAGCAUACAAACUAACCCAAUUUAAUUAUCUGUUAGAAACAAGGCAAAUCCCUAUAGCAUGUACAUUUAUAGAGCAUUCAUAUGUCGCCUGGCCAUCUCUUUGAUUGUGCUGACACACAAAGAGAGCCAAUGUAAAAGAGCGUGAGAGAGCGAGCACAUUAACGGCGCAUGUGGCGGUGGCGCGAAAAUAUGGCCGGUGGUGGCGCGCAUUUGUUGUCGUUGUUGUUGCGCUGCCCGCCAGCUCGAUUUGUUGUUGUUGUUGUCGCCAGAAACAACACCCUUAAGGAACUUGUUUUCAUCUCUUGCCUUGCACUGACAAAAAUUUCGUGAUCGCUGGCUUCGAAAUUCAAUUGAAACCAUUUCGGCUGUUGGCCAGCGCAUCAGCAGCAUCUACGACCGGCGGGUUCAUGGAAUUUCAGACAGGCUCAGGUAGAGCGCAGGUGCGCAGCCCAUAGUACAGCUCGAGUUGUUUUGUUAUGAAGAUGCUUGAAAGAGAUGUCCCUAUUUUACACAUACAUAUGCAUACAUAUGUAAAUAGUGUGUACACACACACACACACAUAAAUUAAUUUAUGCUUUGAUUAACAAGUGUUGAAAAUGUUCGAUUGUUUUAGGAAUUUCGGCAGCCAUUUUAUUUUAAAUCGAAAUCCAAGGAACGGCUUCUUGACCGGUAUAAGACAGUGUUGGCAAACGUGCAAAAGAGCUUCUGGCAUUAUCUAGAGUUAAAUAUUGAGAUUAAAAAGCAUUGCCCAGAGCAGCUGUUCAUUAGUAGA